rnacentral:lncRNA from 1 species
GAAUAUUUAAAAUGAUAAACAAAAUAUUCCCCAAAAUUUGUGAAUUUUCAGUUAUUUUUUCCUUCUUUUUUUUUUGUGGCACUUUUUGCUAUCUCUUGCCAAUUUUUUGCACCCCUUCUUCAUAUUAGGAACCCGUCUCUUGGCCAAGUUUCAGCACAUAUAUUGCUGAAAAUUCGAUUUUCCAAACCUUGGUUAGAAGUAUCGUGUGGCUAUGAUAGAUAUCACCUAAUGAAGUCUAACCCAAAACUUACCUCCAAUGUUGAAGAACUCUAAAAAAUUGGUUGGUUUCAACAAAUACAUGUUUAUACCCUUAUUACCAUGUAUAGUAAAUAUUGCUCACAACAUCAAAGAAGUUUAGUUUUGUCUUUUUUUCUCAGCAAUAUCCUAUUAAGAAUCACCAAUUUCCAAUAAUACGCUUUAAUACCUAUAACUGCCUCAGGAAAUCCCUUUUUUUUUCUUCUUGUUCUCUCAUUUCUCAGCAGUCAAAACCCUAUAUUUUAUUUCUAUACUUGGACCUCCUUUUUUCUUUUUGGUCUCACUAGAUCAAUAUCCAAAAGAAAAACUCAACAUUUUCUUGCCAAAAAUUUUAGUUUCUUUCAUUUCUUUAAUUUUUUAGUCAUUUUCUCAUCUUUUAUUUCUUAUUGGGUGAAACCGUAGACAUUCAAAAUCUAUCAACUUUUAAGCUGAUUUCAAGCUUUUUGGGGGGGUAUACAAGAACUUUAGCUACUAUUUGCUGUCUAUUUUACAUUUAGUAGAAGGAAAAAGGGCCUUUGAACCUCUCUAUCCCUUUUUGUUAAACCGAUACAAGAAGAGAGGCCACACACAAGAUGACAGUGUUAGUUAACUUGAUAUACAUUCUUAGCCUAUCACUUAACAAUUUAAGCUUUUAGGAUAAGUAAUAUUCUAACAUAGCCAAAUAUCAUCCUGCAAUAAAGUUGAUGUCAAAUAUUAUCAUGCCUGAGAUGGCUAUCAUGCAGAAGCCAUUAAUCUUCUUUCUAUUCCUCUUUUUAUUGCUCUUUCAUGUUACCUUACUAGCAAGAAAGAAUAUGUCAUCAUCAAUCAUGACCUUAAUUAAGAACACAUCAUACAGUUAUAACGUAUUAAGAAGCAAGUAAGAGGAGGGAGAAGUAAAUAUUAGAGGGCAGAAAGAGGAGUCAUCAAACAUUAAAACUCAUGUUGUUGACUUCCUUUUUUUUCCCACUCAAAAGAAACGAACAGAGAGAGAGAAGGCAAAUUGCCCUUCUCGCUUUUCAAAAAUACUACUAAAGAGCUCAACCACCAACAAUAGUUAAGUCUUUUGGAGAGCAGGACCCUUAUGCAUCUUUUGGAUGGUUUGGAAGACAAGGAAUAGGAUUGAUUUCAAUAAUGAAGUGCUUUCAAUCCAAAGGCUAAAAAGUUAUUUCAUUUGCUUUAUUUGGUCAAAGACUAACUAGGCUAAAAAGCUCUAGUUAGUUUCUUUGAUUGGUUGAGCUCUUUUUGAGGGUAGUGGUGUUGUUGUCCUUCUUGUUUUGUAAAUCCUUCUCUUGUUUGAGCCUUUUGGCCAUGGGUUUAUACAUCAUGUAUUCCUUGAGUCACUCUUUUAGCACUUCUUAUUAAUAUAUAUGCAUUUAUAUAUCUAUAUAUAUUGAUAGGUAAAUAUAUGCAUUUAUAUAUACACACACUUCUUUAUCUAUCAAAAAGUACUUAAGUCUUACCUAUUGUUAAAUUGGUUUAGGAAAAGCUUUGAUGAGAAGGCACAACUAAAGAAAAUUUUAAUAAUACACAUAUAGCAUGAAAGACAUUGUGAGAAGGCCACAAGUACUUUCUUCCUUGUAGAAUUAGGUUUUGACAAACUUUUGAAACUCACUCUUGCAAAUCUAAACUUGGUGGGUCAUUCUUCAAAAAAUCACUUUUUUUUUUCCUUUUUUGAUAAGAAAAGUAUAUAUAUUAAAAAGAGGUGCCAAAAUAGCGCCACAUGAUCUACAAGAUAAAUGCACCCACCCCACAUAGCUCACAUAAAAUUAACUGCCAAAAUGGAGAUACAAAAAACAUCCUCACCCUCAAUGAGAGUCCAACCAAUUAACAUCAAAGGACCAUCCUUUAUAAACAUCUUAGUCUCUAACCAAAGAAAGCAAACAAAAGAUCCCUUUAAACUUUGGAUGAAAAGCACAUCAUCUUCGAAGGCAACUGAUGUAGGACAACCCUAGGAUGGUUGCCUACACUUAAGGGUAGGUGGGCUAGGGUUUUAUUUUUAGGGUGUAAGGAGAGGAACAAGGAAUAAAUUUUAUGGUAGAGAAAAUUAUAAGAUAAGAAAUAGAGAGAAAGAAGAAACAAUGAAGAAAAGAUGGAAAAACCUUAGAAUCUCAUUAAGGCCUUCUAGAAGUCUCACCUAGAAGAAAAUCAAUGGAGUCUCACCAUUGAGGGUUGCAACCUUGCAAUAAAAGAAAGUAUAAUAUUAUUCAUCAAAUUCAUUCAUUUGAUUUACAUUGAUUAGCCUAUUUAUAGGCUUCUCUAAAAAAUCCAAAAUCUACUAGGACUCUAAUAACCUAUCAUGACUCAAAUUCUAAUUAUAUUAUAACUCAACUAGCUAAUCCUAAUUAGACUCCAACAAAUAUUAAUCAUAAUUUAAUUCUAAGUAAUAUUAAUCCUACUUUAAUUGCAACUAAUAUUAAUUCCCUUUCUUGAUAUAUAUCUUGAAGAUUCAUCCUCAUCAGCGACUCUAUUCCUUCCCUUCGAAACCAUCCAAAAAAUGCACAAGGGAUCUACUCUCAAAACUUUCUUACCCUUUUUGCCCACAAAGGACCCAUUCCAAAAUUCACUUUUUUAUUAUACAGCACAUUACCAAAAUAUUGUCAAAGCAUUUCCUUUUUUUACAUCCAAACACCAAGUAAGUCUUCUUAAAAGCAUUUCUAAUGGAACUGUUACCAACAAAAGCACUAUAAACUAAAAGUGUUUUAACUAGAAUCACUAGUAAACAACUCUAAAUAUAACAAUUCUAGACCCGCAUUUUUCAAGUGUGUUCCCACUCGACAGGUGAGACUUGCUUUUUAUUGUGAAUUUUGUUUUUUUGUUUUUUUUUUUAAUUUGGAGUCAUCAUUUAUUUUUAUUUAUUUUUAAAAAAGAAAACAAAAUAAGAAAUAAAACCCUAAAUGACUAUAGACCCUCCAUUUUGUCAUCGUAACAUGUAUCAUCAUACUUGUUACCUCACCCCUUACAUUUUCAUGUAGUAUGCACAUAGGAUCCCCUUCUAUUUAGUUGUUCAUCACUCCUUGGUGGUCCGCUUGUUACUCAGUUUGACACUGACUCUUAAGCCACUUUUAGAGACCUUUUGAAAGGAGUUUUUGGAUCCAUCGUGUAACUUUAGUGGCACCCUAGUUUUCCUUAAAUUUUCGACAUAUUUAGAGCUCGUUCAUAGCCUUUUUGCAAAGCUCGAGAACCUUUUAGGGUUAAAUCGGUCAAGGUCAAUCGGUUGAUUGGGUUUUGUGUUUUUUGGGACCACUUCGGUCCUUUUUCAAGCCCCCUUUUUUUUUAGUUAGUUUUGGGGGGUUCCUAGAGGUGCUUUAAGAGAGUUUUAACCGUUAAUGUCUCUUUGGGCUUGGGGUUAAGUUUUUAAAGCUUUUAAAUGUUUUGAGCUUUGGAGGAUACGAGGACAAAUGUCUAAAUCUCCACUAUUCCUUACCGUAUAAAAAUGGGACUUGGGAGCUCAGUUUUGAGGAGGAUUUUCUAAGUGUUUUGGAAAUGGAUACUCUGCUAAAAUUGAGAAAGGGGGAGAAGAGUUCUCUUAGAAGGAUUCUUAGCUUGGAAGCUUACUUGAUGAACAAGUUUAGUCACUUGUGAGGAUAAAUUUUGUAAGUAUGGUUUACUUUCGUUUUUUAUCUUUCACUUAUAGUCCAUUCUUCUUCUCUUUUAAUUCUUUGAGGAUAUAUAUUUUUUAGGUAUAGAUAUUAGACCACAAACUUGGAUUGUUUAUUAUUUGUUCAUGAUUUAUGGUUAUACUUCUCUUCUUCUCUUGGUUGUUCUUAAUUGCUUAAAAGAUUGUUUAAUCUUUAUUUAUCUUAUUGUACAAUGGUUUUGAAGUUUUGUUUGAUUUGGUUUUGAUAUUUUUACCCAUUUUUCAAGUCCAUUGAUCAUUCAUGAGAUAAGACUUUGCUAGGAUUUGAAAUCUUUGUUUUCUUUUGAUUUUCUCUUUUAGGGACUUCGGUUUUCCCCUUCAUUUUAAUGAUUUUUGAAAACUUUUUAAAUUGAUUUUAAAAUAAAUUUAGAGAAUCACAAGUGUUUGUUUAUUUGACAAAAUGGUUUUCCAUAGAAAAUGUCUUCUGAAGCCUCUUUUGGCCCUUUUUUAUUUUCUUUUCAAAUUUGGUUAUAAAACCCAUUUCAAACCCUCUUUGACUGAGAUUUCAUGCAUCUUUAAUGGUCUUUUUCUUGGCCAAGGUUAAGCCUCUUUCCAUAGGCUUUGAUCUCACUAUUAUACUUGAGAAAAUUGAUAGAUACUCUUGUAUUCUUGUGGUUUUUGAAAAGCUUUUUCAAACUAAUUUUUAGAAAACCGUUCUCAGUCCUUUUGAACCACUCUUUAUAGUCAAUUGGAGCUUAAGAUUAUGGCCAUUUUGAGGUCAUUAAUGGUUGUCAUGAUCAUGGGUACAUAAUGCAUGAUUUCACAUUAGAACAUCCUCAUUUAUGGGUGUUUCUUUGUGCAUUUUAUCCUCAAUGAGCACUCAAGCAUGAAAAAAAGUGUUGAAUUCACAAAGAAAUACUCAUAAAUGAGAAUAUCCUCAUAUGAAAUCAUGCAUUAUGUAUGAAGGAACAUGACAACCAUUAUUGAAUUUAAAAUUACCACAAUCCCAAACCCCAAUUAACCAUGACCAGGGAUUCAAAAGGGAUGAGAAUGGUUCAUAAAAAAUUAGUUUGAAAAAGUUUUUCAAAAACCAUAAAAAUCAUGAGAACAACUAUCAAUUUUCUCAAGCAUAAUGGUGAGAUCAAACCCUAUAAAAGAAGGCUUGACCCUGGCCACAAAAAAAACCAUUAAAGAUGCUUGAAAUCUCAGACAAAUAGGGUUUGAAAUUAGGUUUUACAACCAGAUUUGAAAGGAAAAAAAAGCCAAAAAAAUCCUUAAAAUGAAUUUUCUAUAGAAAAUCACUUUGUCAAAUAAACAAACACUUGUGGCUCUCAACUUUAUUUCAAAAUCAAUCAAAAAGACUUUCAAAAAUCUUUAAAAUGAAGAGGAAAACCAAAAUCCCCAAAAGCAAAAAUUAAAAGAAAACAAGGAUUUCAAAUCCUAACAAAACCUCAUUCUCAUGAGUGACCAAUGGGUUUGAAAAAUGGUAAAAUACCCAAACAAAAUCAAAAUCAUAGCAAUCAAAGCUUCAAAAACCACUAUACAGCAAAGUAAAUCAAUGAUCAAGCAAUUUCUCAAGCAAACGAUAUGAAUCAAAAGAAAGAAAAAGAACCAUAAAUUAUGAACAAAUAACCAACAGUCAAAUGUGUGGCCUCCAACAUCCAUACCUAAGCAAAUAAUCUCAAUAUACAAUUAAAAAAAGAGAAUAAACAGUGAAUGAAAAGAAGAAAACAAAAUCAAAGUGACUUACCAAGCUAUCUCCAUAUAAGUGAAUCACUUGCCUUCUUGCAACCUCCAAAUCUUCCUCCAAGAAAACUCUUCCCUCUCUCUCUCUCUCUCUAAAAAUUUGCAAAGUUUCCCCACCCAGAACACUCAGAAACCCCCCUCCCGCCCCUCAAACCAAGCUCUCAAGGCUUUUAUAUGGCAAGGGAUUGUGGAGAUUUAGACACUUGUCCUCAUCUCCUCCAAAGCUCAAAUCUCUAAAAAAACCAAAAACAAACCCAUGGGGUCUCUAACCCAUGGCUAAGGCUCAUAAAAGCUAACUUUAAAAUAGGGCUCAAAAAGAAGUCAAAACGGGCCUAAAAUCAACAAAACCCGAUCAACUGGUCAAAGAAACUGGUUAAGUCGUUGACCUCGAUCGAUUUAGCCCAAAAGGGUUUUGGGUCUCACGAAAGGGUCCUGAACAGGCUCUAAUCGCGCUGAAACUUUGGGAAAACCUAGGGUGUCGCUAAAGUCACACAACAAAUCCAAAAACUUCCUCUAAAAAUUCUCCAAAAGUGUCCCAAUAGUCAAUGCCAAACUAAGUAACAAGUGGAUCACCAAGGAGCAUGAUGAACGUCUAAGUAGAAAGGAAUCCUACGCACGCACUACAUGAAAAUGCAAGGCAAGGGGUAACAAGUAUGAUGAAUAACAUGUGCUAUGAGGACAAAAUCAAGGAUCUACAAAUUUACUUCAAGGAAAAGAUAAAACAAUGCAAAAAUAAUGGCAUUCCAAGCAUAGGCAUACUGGGUUCAAACACCACUUUAUAUCAUUGUAGCAAAUCCACUCCUUUAGGCUUUAACUAAACUAGAACAAAUGAAAAACACAAUGACAAAACCUUUUUAAUAUAUAGAUAGUAACCAUUUGAAUCUACUAAGAUUGAAUGACAAUGGGAUCACUAAAACUCAAUUACUUGAAGUUAUAUAUCCAAAAUCCAACUCUCUUAACAUAUGAAAAUUCCAUUGUUAAAUAAAUAAAAAAUAAAACAUAAAAAACAGUGUUCAACUAUGUGCUUUGAUAGAAAUAAAAUGCAAGAAGGAUUAUGCAUGAACACCAAUAUUUUUAUAUCAAUCCCUGUUGUCUCAUUUAAGUUUGAUUAACUAUGCUAUAAAACACACUUCAGUAAAGAAGAAAAAAACUAAUAGAACACAUGAAAAUUCAGCUAAAAUGAAAGAGAAUGUAUGGUUUGAAAGCAAAAGAAAGCAAGAAGGAUCAUGCAUGAAUGUUGGCAUCUUUGUGUCAAAACCUAUUGUCAUAUUGAGGUUUGAUUAACUAUGCUAUAGAACACUUGACUAGAGAAGAAGAAAAAAGAGUAAUAUAGCAUAGGAAGGCACACUUAAUGACUAUACUAUUCUCUUAUUGGAUCCCAUAAAUCAUUAGGAAACUAAGCAAACAAGAUGAGAGAAAGAGAGAGAUGGAGAGAGUAUACCUCUGACAAUUGCUUGUCCUCAUCACCCAAUAAAACUGAAUCUGAAAACCCAUCAUGAUUUACAAAAUCUGCAAACGGAAUCUAUAAAAUAAUUUAAUUAUUCAAGAAGUAGUCAUAUAAAAUAUACAAGUAUACAAAGUACCCUUAAUUCCAAAUGGAAAAGUACAUAUAUCUAUAACCAGAUAAUUAUAAUAGUAAUACCAAAGAGAGACCCUUUGUGCUCCCCCAUGCCCGAGAUCCAACUGUCACAUUCACAACAUAUGAAAAUAAGUUCCAUACUUCAGAAAAGAGAAUUAAAUUUAAUAAUAAAACAUAAUUCAGUACGGUAAAAAGUUUAUCAGUACAAUAUUUUUUAACUUCUAUAAGCAACUGUGUACCUAGAGCACAUGCAUGCAUGAAUUCCUUCAAUGAGAUAUCCUUAAAAAGAUUUUCAGAGAAGUGAUGCAGAACCUGAAAUCGUAAGACACAUCUUAGCAAAGUCAUAGAUUAAAUGAAAGUCUCCUGAGUUGAACAGAGUAACCGCUCAUGUUAUAUUUUUAAAGUAAAAGCACCAAAAGAAAAUAUUCGAAGAACACCAUAUCGAAGAAGAAAUGCCUCAUUGGUAUGUACAUUGCAUUAUUUGAUGCUAUAAUAUUAUAAUUUUAUCUAUCAGUUAGUUGGUCAGUUGACCACAUCAAACAAUAUGAAAGAUAGUGAGAGAUAAUCAAAUAUGUGAGAUGCUUAAAUGAAUGUGAGUAGUUAAUCUGUUAUUAUGUAUAACACUCUAAUCUUUCCUUUAUGAUUAGAUUAGGCUGACUGUGGUUAGAUCUUUCCUGUGACCAUUAAAAUCGUCUUCAGCAUUUAUCAAAAACAGUGUUUCUCUAAGAAAAAUAAUAAUAAAUCAACUUCCCUUCUUGAGAGGGGAAAAAGAUCCAAAAUUUCCAACUUGUUACUUUGUUGAUUUGUUCCUUUUGCAUAUUACCCAUUUCUGUUUUAGCACAUGUCUUUCAUCCCACCUGUUUAGUCCUCUCACACUGCAAGUCAUAGGGCCAGACAGUCAAGCAUGGCCCAGCCCGCAGCUUGUUUAGGCUUGAAAACCGUCUUCAGCCAGUCCACAGCCUCUAGGGGCCACAAGUGGGUCAAGUCAGCAUGGUGGGCCACCACACAUGGCCAGCACGGUCCAAGGGACUGUGCCGAGCCAUGGGCGUGCCUGGCUCACUCACCACCUCUAGGUGCAACUCACUCUAGUCUCUUAGUUUCUAGUGAUGAGAAAAAGGAUGCAGUGGUAAGAAUGAUGAAAUGAAAUGCAACAAAUCUCCUACAUCUUACCACAGUCUCAGAUAAUAAAAAUUGUGUGUGAGGGAGAGCAAGAGUCUUGGAACAUACAAGAGGGAAAAGAAAUGAAGUAUUUACAGGUUUAAUUGCCAAAAAGUCCUUCUGAAUUUGAGCCUUUUGGUUAAUCGUCUCCUGAUAUACUGAACUUUGUUGAAUCAUCUUCAACUCGCCUUCACUCCAGAAUAUCUACAAAGAACCAAUCAACACCCAAAUUACAACUCAUCUUCAUGCCAACAAAGUUACUCCUAUAAAUAACUUGAUCCACCUAUGUUUUUUCCCUUUAAGGGAUAAUAAUGCAGUUAGUUGUUCAUGGUAACACUAGCAGGAAGAUGAUAAGCAAGCUCCAUCAUGGAAAUCAACAAAAAUCUACUCUUUUUUUUUUUUUUUUGAUAGGCAAAAGCACAAAGAUAAAUUAGAAAAAGGGUGCUUGAAAGGCGACCCGGAGCAUACAAGGAGUAUACAAGUGUCACCUAAAAAAAACAACAAAAACACAAGCACUCACUGGCCCUCAACAAGAACCCAACCAUUCCACAAAGUUAAACAAAGUUAAGGGGCCUACAGCUAUAGAAGAUUUAGCCCAAGAUAAGAGAUUACAAACAAAGGAAUUUUUCAAUCUUUGAGUCGACAAAGCCUCAUUAUUAAAGACUAUCUUAUUUCUUUCCUUCCAAACCGUCCAAAAUAAACAAAGAGGAACUACCCGCCAAACCUUUCUAUGUUUCUUGUCCUUAAAAGAAACAUACCAACUUAAUAGAGUGUCUCUCACCGUAAACGGCAGAACCCAAUUAACCCCAAAAAGAGAAAACACAAGAUCCCACAAAAUCUUCACCUUAGAACAAUGAACGAGGAUAUGAUUUAUCGUUUCCUCUUCAACACAACACAACACAAGCAACAUCUGUUGGCUAAAAUCCAGCCCCUCCUCUUGAGCUGAUCUUAAGUAAGGACCUUCUCCCAAGAAGCUUCCCAAGCAAAAAAAACUCACCUUUGUAGGAACAUACGGACUCCAAAUAAUAUUGCACGGAAACGAGAUUGCACAGCUAUGAACAAGAGACUUAUAGAGAGAUUUUACAGUGAAAAUCUCAUUUUUCGUUUCUUUCCACAGCAUCCUAUCCUCCCCAUCAGCAUCCAACCUCUUUCCUUGAAUGGACGAAAGGAGUCUCUCCACCUCCUCCACCUCCCAAUCAUUGAAAGGUCUAAGGAAAUGGUGAGUCCACCCUCCCUCUUCCCCCAUUGGGUCCCAAGAGUCCGCUACCCACGCAUCUUUAGAACCCGCUAAAUCAAACAAGGAGGGAAAGGCCUCACAAAGGGGGGUGUUCCUGCACCAAAUGUCUUUCCAAAACCUCACCCUUUUACCAUCCCCCACAGAGAAUGAUACAUUAUUGAGCAGUAACAAACCUUCCUUGCCGAUUUCCUUCCAAAGCCCUACCCCAUGGCCCUCCCUAGCCCCGCGAGUGCUCCACCUUCCUCUUUCAAUCCCAUACUUCGUACUAAUAAUAAGCUUCCAAUAUAAGUCUCUUUCAACCGCAAAACACCAACUCCAUUUGCACAAGAGGGCUCUAUUAAGAAUGGAAAGAUUUCUAAUCCCCAAUCCACCCAUCUUUUUGUGAGUACAGACAACAGCCCACUUAACAAGAUGAGGCCUCUUCUCCAACGCUCCCCCUCCCCAAAGAAAAUCCCUUUGGAUUUUCUCAAGUCUUAAUUUAACCACUCUUAGCAUGCGCAAUAAUGACAUAAGAUAGGUUGGCAUGCUCGCCAAAGUGCUCCGGAUGAGAGUGAUUCUUCCUCCCUUAGAAAUGAACUGCCUCUUCCACAAGGCAAGUUUCUUCCUCAUCCGCUCUUCCACUCCGUCCCAAACCUUCACCGACUUAUGCGAAGCACCCAAAGGGAGCCCCAAAUAAGUGGAAGGGAGAGAUCCCACUUUGCAGCCAAGCUCAGCAGCCAAUAACUCAGCAUUCUCCACUCUACCCACCGGCAAAAUCUCACUUUUGUUCAAAUUAAUGCGCAAUUCGGAAAUGGCUUCAAACCACAUUAAUAACCAACUUAGAAAAGCCAAUUGCUCUUGAGAGUCCUCACAGAAGACCAAAGUAUCAUCGGCGAACAACAGGUGCGUAACUUGGGUCCCGACACCUUCCCUUCCCCCUAUCCUGCAGCCUGAUAGAAAACCCCCUCUCACUGCUCUGUUAAUGAGACUACUUAAGGCCUCCAUUCCUAAGACAAAAAGGUAAGGAGAGAGGGGGUCUCCUUGCCUUAACCCCCUGGAGCUCCGGAAAAAACCAGUUGGAGAACCAUUGACCAGAACCGAAAACGAAGUAGUGGAUAUGCACCAUCUAAUCCACCCAACCCAUUUCUCCCCAAAACCCAUAUUUUAACAAAAAUCUACUCUUAAUGCAUAUUCUCAGUGCAACUUAACUUGUUUAUACAUUCAUAAUUGGAGGAGGAGCCACUCAAGGCCCAGCGGGCACUUGGCCAACUGAAAAUUUAAAAUAAAAUAGGUAUUAUUGGAGAUUUGGACCCUUAAACCAAGGAUAAGGAAAAAGUCAGUCUUUACCACAAAGCUUAAUCAAGUAGUUUUAUUCCUUCUAGCGCCUCACCCCACAAAUGAAAUUCCUGACUCUGCCACUGUUCAUAAUUCUUAUGUUCUCCUCUCUGGUACAAUUCCAAUUCAUAUGAACCUCUAAAGAUUCAUUCUGCAGCUCCAUACCUAUCAUAGUCUCCACCAAUUUUAUUAUUGCUCUUGCAUGCAAAAUCUGAAGCCCAUGAUGGCUAAUAGCUAAAAACAAUUCUAAUUUCAGAUUCAAUAUCUUUUUUCAUGGGAAGCUACUUGCACCACAAAUAGCUUUAGCAGACAUCAAAUCAUGCUUUUACUGUUUUACAAAUUUUUUAAAUCAUCAAAGACACAAUUCAAUAGAGCAUGUCAUUGAAAAAUCCAAUCCGUCAACCAAUAAUGUCAAUAGUUGUGCUAUGAGGCAAUGUAAUUCAACAAACAUAGAAAGAAUGCAUAGUAUUUAAGGACAUAACAAAAAAAAAAAUGGGGGGAGGUGGCAGGAGAGAAACCAUCAGUUUGCUCGUGAAAUCUGAGAUGUUAAGGAUAAAUUGUGCCAAUCAUUUUUAGAUAGAAUCUUUUAUGUUCCUCUUACCUCCUGAACUGUGCCUAUCCAUGGAUGAAGAACUGAUAUAAUUUAUCACUCUCUUUUUUUCUGGAAGCAUAACAUGAGGAAGAACCUCCACUCAAACAAAUGCAAUAGUGAUUAUUGAAGGCCCAACAUAAGCCAUAAGCAGUUCUCCUAGAAUCAGAAGUUGCCUCUAUGUAACUGUAUAUACAGAUGUUUAUAGAAAAUAAAAAAUAAUAAAGAAACAUUUACUGUGCUAUGCAUUUCCCCAGGCUGAGGGAGACGGUUGAUAUAAGGGGCCCAUUCAGAAUCCUGCAUAAAACAAUGGAAAAAAUUGAGAAUUUUUCGCUUUCAUCAUAUCUUUUUCAGUAUUGCCAUAAAAGCUCAAAAUGGCAAGGCAAACAAGUACAGACAAUUUUUCAGCUACAUGCAAGAAGGUGACAAAUCAUAGUUGUUAAAAGAUGAGCUUAAAGCACACCUAGGCCCAAGGCACAACAACUCCCUAGUUAUAACACCUCACCUACCAUAGCUUGCCCCUUGUUGUAGAAGCAUAUCUCAUCUAUUUUACUUUUCAUUUUUAGAACUUUUAUUCUUAAAAAUUCUAAAUGAAUAGUAAAAUUCUAUUUAUUUUCUUUAUUUUUUUGUUGGAUGAUUCUUUUAAAUGUCAAAAAUCUUGAAUUCUGUUGUUUCGAUUGAAUUUUUUUAUAUCAUAUUUUAUAAAAUUGACAUGCACAAUAGGUUGCAUUUCAUUCCAUCAGGCAUAUGCCUUGUCUUGCCCCUUGCACCUAAGCCUUAAAAGAUUUUCACGCUGGGUCCGCCUUACACUUUUUAAAACUAUGCGACAAACAUGCACAACUACCACCCAUUUAAGGUUAGUGAUCCCAAUGAAAGAAAAAACAAAAAAAGUUAAGUACCUGACCCAUUUUCCACUCCACUGAGAUGACUAUAGCAAGCUUUGCAAUAUUUCCAACCUCAUCACCUAGCAAAGAAUUAAUUUUUGAAGGAACAUUAUCUGGUGAUAUUUGCUGCAGAAUCAAGAAAAAAAUUAGUUAACUAUGGUUCAGAAUAUGGCUGGGAAAUAAACAGCUUUAAAGACUGGAAAAGUUUAUAAAGGGCAAUUUACCACAUUAUAAGGAACCUUCAGUAUGCAGUCUCCAGUUUGUAUCGACUUAGAAGCAAACAAGGACCUGCUUUCAGGAAAUACAUUUAAUUUAUUUUAGGAAAAAAGAAACUUAAUAGCUCAAUCAGGCAUAUACCAGUUGAAGGCCCAUAUUAUUUCAUAUUUUCCAAUGACUUAAAGUUCCACAAUCCAUAACAAAAGAUGUUGUCAUGAUCUUUAGAAGCAGGAAAGACCUACCACAGUUUAAUGAUGAGCUCAAGCACCCAAUCAACAUAUAAUAUUUUUUUUAACAGAUCUCAAAUCCCUCUGCCUGUAUUGACUUCAAACACUUCAUCUUUUACAUAAACAGCAUCAAGGCCAAAGAAGUAGGGAGGCUACAAAUUCAAAAUGAUGGGCAGCCAGGCUAAAACCUUCAACCAAAUUUUUAUGAACAUGAGUCUUGAGAGUUCCCAUGAAAACAAAUCUAGAAGUCAUAAAAUCGUGAUUUCAAAAACACCAAGUUGAAGUCUCUUAGUGUCCUUUACUGAGAAACGACAAUCUAAGUUGUGUUAUAUUCGCAUGGUACAGCCGAACUUAUUUGAUCCUUCAAAUCAACAAUAGACUAUUAUCCAAGCAUAGGAAGAACCCCGAUGCAUUCUUGCACCUAAAAGGUGCAAACCUCCACACACAUUCCAAUCAAUCGGAUGAUCUUCAUUUAAGCCAAAAUAUUCAGAUGUAAAAUUGUGAAUGAUGGACAAACUUGUGUAGAUGUUCAUUAAGAGAAAUGUUAUCAGAAAACUUGGGUGAAGGCCAUCCAUGAACUAGUCAAAGCACCAUCUUUGCCAUGUGAAAUGCUAGACCACAUGAAAGUGCCCUUUUCAUUUUUGAGAAAUGACACUGCUUCUAUAUUUUGUGAACCCAUCAAAGGUAUCCUCAGCAUUUGUUAAAAAAAUUUCCUCGAAAGGAUCAUAAGAUCGUAAUGCAAGUUUCAUCUAUCCAACAAAACAAAAGACAAGUACUUCAAUUAAUGCUUCAGAAGAGUUCACUGUUUUUUCAACUUCAUUUGCAACUUAUGUCAUAAAGUUCUGUCUACAACUUAGUCAUGAUCAGUAUUCAAAUCUGAAUUCCAAACAACUUGAUGAUGCAAUUAUUAUUCAUGCUUCUUAAAAUGUGUAUUCCAAUUGAGAAAGACAUCUAAACAACUACAUCAACCAAAAAUCCAUACCAUUCAUCAGCAGAAUGACUUCCAAACAGGGAAAUUACCAAAACACCAAUAUGAAUCAUCUCAAACAUAGAAUGUCUUGGUGAAGUCCAGGGUGAUUCCUCGACUCUAUGCCAGCUAACCUUCAUGAAUUCCAUAAAUCAUAAUCCUCGUGUUGCAAGACCUCAUAUCAAAAAUUAUUUUUGAACCAUCUCCCAUUGAAAUACAUUACCUUUAGUGUCUAAGCUUCUUAUCUGAUCUCAGUCUUACCCAUUGAUUUAAGUGAUCUUUAGUAUCUAAAUGUCUUAUAAAUCUCAGCCUUAUGGAGCACAUUAGACUUUUUAUCCUAUGUGAGAUACAAUAUUACAUCUUAUCUCACUUCUUCUGCAUUGAGGCUUUAUUUGCAUUAAGAUUUCCUUUGCGAAUGGUUCUAAAGAAUACUAAAUAUGUCCACGAUGAUGACUUUUUUUUUCGCAAGUAUUCAGGAUAAUACUUUGUUGAGAAGUAAAACUGCAUUAUCAAUGCAAGCAUCCUCAAUUUGUCCAACAAAGUACCCAAAGCCUCCAUAAAAUUUCUGCUCUUUGGUGAAUAAACAGAUUCCCAUAACACCUCAUAAAUACCAUACCAGUUAAGGCAUUUUGGAUUACAAGAAAACAAUAUAAUUGAUGCAAUUUAAUCUGGGAUUUCAAAAUUCAUUUUAACCUCCAAUUAUGAGCAUGGUUAGAAUAUCAAAGGAGAGGGACAGCUGAACUCAGAGAAAUUUGGAAAGCAUCUUACAAGGCAUGAACAACCAGUUUAACUUCAGAAAUGCCUUUGUUUUUUUAUUUGGAUUGGCAAUCAAAAUGGAUAUGUCCAUAAUUUUCAAAAUUCAAGUAUAAAGUUUGACCAAAAAGAAAUAUGGAGAUAUACGGAAGCUGUGUGGAGAUAUAUGGUUUCAUGCAUGGUAAAACAUGUAAUACAUAAAUGUGUGAGCAUACGAAUUGUAGAUGAAACAUUUGUAGCGAGAGAAGUAGACAACCUGCCAUAAGUGGAUUUCCCAAUUGAAAGCACUGAUGAAAUUUCAACCCCAGCCUUCUGCUCCAGCCAUGGUAAAAAAUCAUCACAGUCCUUGUCUACACAAUGUGAGUCCUGACGCCAUAAAGCAACAACAAAACCAACUGAACUUCAUCACAACAUUAGUGAAAAUUUAAAGGAAAUACAAUCAGCUGCUACAAUUUGAACCAAUUAAAAUACAUCUGUGCAUUGAGAAAACCAAACAAACUGUUGGAUUAUGCUCGGUUUUUUCUUCCUGUUUUCCAGAUACUGGAAAUUCCAAACUUCAGGAUUUCCGCCUCUGUUUGGUUGCUGAGAAAGAGAGGAGAAUAAAAUUUUUGAAUCUCAUCUUUUAAGUAGUUACGACCUCUUAAGAGAGAGAUUGUUCCACUGAGAGACGCGAUUAAGGUGCAGGUUUCCUAAUGAAACCUACAACACAAAUACUCGAUUUCUUUCCUUCCAACCAAAUGGAGCAUUAAUUUCUCUCCUUUUUUACAAUCUCAUCCUCUGGAUUUCCUAUUCUUUCCUCCGUUUUCUCGCUGACCAAACAUGUAAAAAUAAUAAGUAAAUACAUAAACAAAUAACAGACAUCUGAGGGAGUACUCGACCAGAGAGAUAGAAUUGGAGCAAACCUGAGGCAUCGCUGGAGAAGAGAAUUUGAAUCGACGAGAGAGACAGACAAUAGGACGAUGAAGGCAGCAGCGAUCGAUGAAUCGAGCACCCAAUAGCAUCGCAAAGACCUUCGUGGAUAGGGUUUGGUCCGCCUUCGCCGGUUGAAGCGAUCGAACAAAUCAGAAUAGUCUAUCCUGAGUUACCGUUGGACCACGUGUUAACUCAUUUUGCAUCAGGCAUUUCGGUGAAAUGAAGUGGAGUAGCCCUUUGCCUUAAAGAGAAGGGGCGGUUAUGUUUGGAAAUUGUUAAAAUGAGACGCUUCUUGAAAAACAAUUUUUUUUAAUAAUUUUUAGCAUUUCUAGUUUUAUUAUGGAAAAUUUUUUAAAAAAUAUUAUAAAUAUUUUUUAGAAUUACUAUCAAACUCACUUUUAUUGUUUUUAAUACUUAGAUCAUUAGAAAGUCUAAAAACACUUUUUAAAAACAAUGAUGGAGUUUAAUAAUAAGUUGAGGAAGUAACAACAGUAAUUUAUUCUAAUGAGGACAAGAAAAUAGCAAAAAUAACUUCAUAGUGACAUGGUUGGUGACGUUGUCUUGUAAAUUGAAUAGUAGAGGUUUAUAACGUGUUUUACACUAGUUUUAGUCAAUGAUUUCUAGUUUUUUUUAAUACUUAAGUUAAAAAAUAUUAUAAGCACUUUUUAGCCUAAUGGAUUAUUCGGCUACAUCCCUACCUAGAAGCAUUGUCAAACACACUCUUAAAAUAUAUUUCACACUAGUUUUAGUCAACGAUUUCUAAUAAUUUUUAAUACUUAAAUUAUAAAUAUUAUAAGCACUUCUUUGCCAACUAAAUUAGCUAGCUUCGCCCCUACCUAUAAACACUAUCAAAUACACUUUUAAAAUAUAUUUCACACUAGUUUGGUGAACGAUUUUUAAUCAUUUAUAAUACUUAAAUUAUAAAUAUUAUAAACACUUAUUGGCUAAAUGGAUUAGUUGGCUCCACCCUACCCAAAAGCAUUGUCAAAUAUACUAUUAUAAUGAAUUUCACACCAGUUUUAGUCAACAAUUUUUAGUCUUUUUUUAAUAUUUAAUUAGAAAGAUUAUGAGCACUUCUUAGCCAAAUAGAUCCUUAAAAACGUUUCUCAUGUAUUUUCCAAAUUAUAAGUAUGUUUCAAAUCUAAAACUUAUGAUAAAUUUUAUUUAUAAUAUUUUAUAAAUAUUUUUUUAAAAUGUAUCACACAAAAUGUGUGAAAACAAUUUAAAAUAACUAUUUUUUAUUUUAUGAUUAUCAAAUAUUAUUUUAGAUAAUAUAAGAUUGUUUUAUAAAACGAUUGUCAUAUGAAGUCAAUCAUUCCGCUUCAUUAUUUUUAACUCGAUAAAAAUAUUUUAUGCAUGAUAUCAUUAUUGCUAUGAGAGUGGUUAGUCUUUUAUCAUAUGCAUAUAAAAGUUGCUACCAAAGCUUUAGAAUAGAAAUAUGAUUGUACAUUAAAGGAAAGAAAAUCAUAUAAUUUAGUUAAGAGUGUAGAGAGUUUAUGAAAAACGACACAAUAAAGUGAACUUAGCAAGAAGUUUAUUGUAACACCAGGUAGUUUUGCAAAUGUAAAUAUAUAUAUACAAAGUUAAAUUGUGUUUAAUUAAAUAUUGGUUAGUUUAAUGUUAAGCAUGUUUAAUUAGGAUUUAAAUAAAACUUAAGCAUUAUUAUGUUUGGUUGAGAUAUUAAACCUAGUUUAAGGUUAAUUAGUGCCUUGAACUCGUGGUUGGGGUAGAUGAGUUUUACUUCUAAUAAUGAGGACUUGAGAAAGUGAAUUGAGAUUAGGAAAACAUGGAAGACAAAGUAGCAAGAGGACUCUAUAAGUAUAAAAAAAUUUAUUAGUUGCAACUAUAGAACUUAUCACCUCACGUUUUCUAUACUUUUUUUCUCUUCUUUAUGUCAUUUGAGUCGUCCCUCUAACUCGUGAUUAUCCUUCGUUUUUUUAACUUAACCAUUAAAGGUUGUGAGCCAAGGGAGAUCCUUUGGGCCAUGAUAAUUUGUAGGUAUGGGCUCAAAAGCAAUUACACAAAGUAGCGAGAAGAAGGUUCCUACAUCAACCCUAUACCUCCCAUAAGAAUGGUGUUAAGUUCCCUCAUUAAAGUAGUGUUAGCAUACACCCCUUCCCAUUCACAUGAGGACAUUUAUUUGAAGUUGGUCACAAUUCAUUGUUUCUUUAAAUAGUUUACACGCUCAUUUAAAAACAUCUCACUUAUAGCAUGACGUCUUGAUAUCGUGACAUUUGCACUAGAUUGGAGUAGGGCUCAUAUGGCAAGCUUGACUCUCCUAUCAUUGAGUUAUUGGGAGAAAUGGGGGAUCUUAGUUCGAUGGAUGGAGCUAAAAAUUAUUUAAAACAAGUUAGGUUGCUCAUAUGUUGAACCUCAUUUGUUUGAAUGAUUGUAAAGAUGAAUGCGAUUAGACUCGAGUUCAUACAAUUCUACAUAUCCAUAAACACGAAACUACCUAUUCAAUGGGUAAUUCUAAUUCCGUCAAGUCAUAUUGUUGGUUAGGUUUCACUAAAAAACUGAUUUAACCAUAUGUUAAAGUUAAAAUCAUCCUACAACGGUUAGGAGACAAGGGAAAACUUUCUUAUACUAUAAAAUGAGGUAUCCAUCUCUUAUACUAUUCAUUAAAACAAAGUAGUUAUUAUUCCCAUAUGUUACAAUGAAUCGUCAAUAUAUAAUUGAUCAUUUUUAAUUAUUUGUUUGUUCUAUCAUUUUUAUGUAUUUGUUUAAACCAUUUAUUUAUUUUUUGUACAUUAAUGAUCAAUGUUUAAUUCAUUUUUUUUUCUGUUAUACUUUAUGUUUCGUUAUUUUUCUAUGACAUGUUUUUCAAUAUACGUUUGCUUAUAAUUUUUAUAAUAAAAUCCAUACAUACAAAUUUUGAAUUAUGAAAUAAAUAAAAAACUAAAUAUCAACAAAUUUAUAUUUAAAUUUUUUGAAAUUCAAAAAAGAAUAUCACCAAACAAAUCCUUCUGCAAUAUAUUUUAAAACACAAAUAAUACUUAAAAAUUUGACAAUUUUGUUUCAUUUUUUACUAACUUAUUUUUUCAAAAUUUUAAAAAUAAUUUUAAAAAAUACAUGACAUUUUCUUUUUUAUAAGUUUAAUAAUGGAAAAUCCCGUGAAAAUAAAACCGCGAAAUAUGAUUUGAGCCUGGCGCUCUUUUUGCCAUGUCAGCAAUCCGCCCUAACUUGAAUUACAUAAUCGUAGCCGUUGGUAUUGAAAUCGACGGCUUUAGACACUCCCCUCAAACCGCUGGCACGGAUCGAUUCCCGACACCCGCAAUCCUCAACUUUCACUAUAAAAAACACACCACAGGCCCCCCUAAUGAUCAUUGCUAUCACAGUUCUCUCUUUCAAUUGGUUCAGAGCUCUUGAUUCAGGUUCCUUCUCAUACCAUCACAGUUCUUUAUCAUGUUCAAUUAUGAGGUUUAUCCUUGUUGUAUCUGUUCUCUCAUUUCCUAAUCUUGCGUUGAUUGGAAUGAAGAAGUUAGGGUCUUAUCUGUUUUCUAAAUGUUAGGGUUUAGAGUAUGUAAUUGAAAUUCGAGUCGAUUUGUUGAUGUUUUUGCCAAUCAACUGUUGACUUAAUAUCAAUAAUUUUGUCUUAUCGCACUACGGUUGAGAAAUUGCAUUUAGAGGUUUUAUUUGAUUUUGAAGGUUUUUUUUUUUCGUCUCCUUCAUUACAGCGACCAAAUUUUGCUUCGCUCAAGUGAAAACCUGGGGCCUUAUUUGUUUUAUUUUUUGCUGAUUGAUGUUACAAAUCAUCGAUCGAAAGUUUUCAACAAAAUGCUGAUUUGCUACAAACGGUUUCUUUAUCUCCCAUUGUGAUUUUAUUUUUGUUCUGAUGCUGAGAAGUUGCGUCGGGGGUUUGUUGUUUAGCUGUAAUUUGCUUAAAUUUUCGGUAACCUAUUAUUAUUCUCAGCAGCUGAUUGGGAUGCAUCUCACGAUUCUUUAGUUUCUUUUAGGGUUUUUGUGAUUCUUAUCCUAACCUAGCCAGUUCCAUUGUUUCAGCUCCAAGAUCAUCCAUUCCUUGAUCUACAAUGUCUGGCCGUGGCAAGGGAGGCAAGGGCUUGGGAAAGGGUGGAGCCAAGCGUCAUCGCAAGGUCCUCCGUGAUAACAUCCAGGGCAUCACCAAGCCUGCCAUCAGGCGUCUGGCCAGAAGAGGAGGCGUGAAGCGUAUCAGCGGUCUGAUCUACGAAGAAACCAGAGGGGUGCUCAAGAUCUUCCUUGAGAACGUUAUCAGAGACGCUGUGACCUACACUGAGCACGCUCGUCGCAAGACCGUGACGGCUAUGGACGUGGUGUACGCGCUCAAGAGGCAGGGCAGGACUCUCUACGGGUUUGGUGGUUAGGGUUUGUGAAUGGAAAGUCUCGCAGCCUAGAAGCGAAGGCGUUGUGUAGAGGCUAAUUUUAGGGUUUAUUUUCUUGGAUUUAAUGGGAUGUACUGCUCCAUAUCUUUGGGCAUCAUUUUGUGAUAUAUUCUGAAAUGAAAACGGACGGUAUUUUGAGCAUUAAUCAUUGUUCUUGGGGUUUUUUUUUUUUUUUAAAUUUUUGGCAGAAAAAAAUUGUCAUGAACUCUAGUCUAUUUGAUUAAGGAUGGCAAAGUUCGGAUCAUGUUAAUCCUACUCGGUUUUUAAAUCAAUUUCCAACUUUGUUCCAGAAGAAAUCUUAAACCUGUGGGAGAAGGUCUGUUUAAAAAAUAAGUUAAAAUCUAAUUAGGUUUUUUUUUGAAUAGGAUAGGAGGAAUAUUUUAAAAAAUUGAUUUCACUUAUUCUUAUCUUUGAUGGUAGUAUAAGUGUUUAUUUUUGAAUAGAAUAAUAUUUUUUUGGAUUAUUAGAUUUAAGUAUUUUUUUAUUAAGAAAAAUGGUUUGGCGAGCAGUUUUGUUAUUUCAAGCCUUUAUAUUUUGAUAAUACGGCAAGUGGCGGUGUCCUUUGGCGCUUUGUAAUGGGCAAUUGGAAGUGGGGUAUCUCUAGGAUUUCAUGGGGUGGACCAUGAUUGUUUUGUUUGAAGUUAGUAAUCGAAAGCGAUGGCGUAUAAGAAUACUAAAUUGCUUAUUGUGAAUCUGUGAUGGAUUGACCAGAGUUUUCCUUAGAGGCGAGGUGUUGCUUCUAAAACAAACUGUUUCUGUAUGAUUAAAUUAAGAAAAUGUUUUAAAAAUUAAAUUAUUUGCUAAAAUUGUAGCCCAUUUUUAAUUAAUAAUUUCCUACACGCAAGGUGGGGAGUGGGGACCGCUGCCGAGAGGCAACGCGGUUUCUUAGAUGGAACGGCAGGGCCCAGUGGAGGACAGUUGUUGGCGAGUCAUUUUCAAAAGCAUCACUGUCACUUUUCUAUUUAGCAGAUGACAUGCCAAUACGUGUCGACAGGCCAUUGACCCAAAGGUCGGUUGGCGUGACGAAGACGCCACUAUUCCCGAUAAAAUAAAUAAAUAAAGGGGAGUGGAACACCGCAAUGAUAGAACUUAGAAGAGAUGCCAUUUUGCUACAACCCUAACAAACAGUCUCGGCACGCGAAGAGAAAAUCUCUCUCCUCUCGUUUUUCAAGAAGGUGCCGAUGAAUCUUGUCUCUUCUUUACUACUUUGAUUUUCUUCCCUUCUUCUCAUGUAAUUUUAGUGGCUUCCUUUGUUCAUCUCUCUUUGGGUUUUUAUUUGGUUGUGAUCUGCUUGGUUGAUGAAAAGGAGAGGAAAUGAAAGUUUUGAUUUAGGUUUAGGUUUAGUUUUUUUUUUUUUUUUUUUUUGUGUGGUUUGUUUUUGGGAAAAAAAAGGUGGGAAAAGAGGAGUUGAAAGGUGGAUCUCAGAUGUUUUAUUUUAAUUUUCCUUGUGAUCUGUUUGGUUGUCGAGAAAAGGUGGGAAUCGGGAAGAAAAUAUUUUUUAUUUACGGGGAGUUUUCCUUACUUGGAAAGCCGAUGGAACGGACCAUGUGUUUUUUUUCCUUUCUUUUUCUUCCCCUCCACAGUUUUUCCGGUAACGAAACAAAGGGUUAAUAUGUGACGUAUAUGAUUCAUUAUCAGGCAUCCCAGUUUUUUAAUUAAAUUUGAGGCUGUGGUGAUGGAUCUGAUCAUCUUCUUUCUCUAUGUAGACUUUGAUCUCCUGUGUGUGCUUAAAUCUAGCUUAGCUUAUUCAAUGUUUCCAAAAUGCAGAUGAUGUUGAUUUUAUUCAUGAUUUCAUUAUAUCUCUUUUUCUCAGUCGUUUUUUUCUUCUAUUUUCAUGAACCACUCAAUUUUGAAAUUCAAGGAUUAAAAACAGUUUAGGGAAAAAAAUUCUUAGAAAAGGACAGUUUCAUAAGCAAAGAUAUAUUUCCUGGAGCAUGCCCAGCGGGCUUCCCAUGUUCUUUUUUAGAUUUGUAUAUGCAUGUGAAUAUUGUUAUGAUAAAUGGAGGUUUGCAGAUAAAUAAUCUCUUGAAGCAUUUCAUGUGCAUAUGAAUGGUCAAUUAGUUGUGUUGACGUGUUGUUUAAUAGUUUGAUCAUUACCUUUGGAGGAAUAUUUAAAAAUGGUUAUCUUUCAAAUAUUUAUUUUCAGUUUAGCCUAGGGUAUUGGGGAAAUCUUCCAUCCAGUGUUAAGUGAAAUUUCUUCUUUGAUUGUUUGAAUCAAGAUUUGUUUGUCGUAUCUACAUCUGAAUGAUAAUUCUAAUCCAAUUUAUGUUGAUUGAUUUUGCCAUUUUGUCUGCAGGUUUUGAUCCACAAAAUCCUAUACAUGGAGCCAAACCUAUUUGACAAAGGAAUGGGUAUAUUGUAGAUAAUGACAUGAAACCUACUUCAGAUGCAAUUUCUAGGGUUUUGAGAUUGAAGUAAUUAUAUUUGUUUAAGAUAGAGAUCGGAGAUCUUCAAGAGGCACAUAUUGGAGUCAUGUCUGUAUCAGGGAAUGAAAAGGUGUAUAUCUCCCUUUCUUACUUACACUUAAUUUUAUGCAUCACUUGUUUUUUGAAUAUCGUUUGUGUUUAUUUCCUAAGAUACUCUCAACUAAGAGUAGAAAAAUAUAAUAAUUUCUUUUUUUUUGGAUAUUGAUUCAUUAAUCUUCAAUUGGCAGCCUGGGAUUAAAUCUGUUUCCCGGCAGUAUAGCGCUUCUAUUGCAGGUAUUCCUAUCAAGAAAAGGAGGUUCCCAUUGGUGCGGUCUCCUUCACCUCCACCUGAAGAACAAAUUUCACAUAGGAACUUAUCUCAGGAUUCAUGUCACUCAAAUGCCAGUGUUGUAACAACUUCUUCUGGCAUAUCUGAUGCAAGCAAGAAUUAUUUCUCAGAGGAAAGAAGAGAAAGAUCUGCUGAUAAAAAUAUUAGUUUAAUCCAAAGUGAUGCUAAUAUUUCUGGAGUCAAUCCUCUGGAACCAAGCCUUAGAAUUUAUUCUGGUUCUUCUGAAAGUAUAGCAAGCGAAGAAAAGCCCAUGCCAGCGGAAAAAAGUUCAGGCCAGAUCAUUUCUGGAAACACAGAGCCGCAAUUAGCUUGCAAGGAAGCUCUUUCUCUUCAUGUAGGAAAGGACAUAUUUAGCAAACUAAAAAUAGAAAGGGAUUAUGAACCUCAAGUAUCUACAAUUAUAGGCAGCACUGAAUUGUCAUUAGGACCAAAGGAACCCUUUGCUCCCUCCUUGGUUGGUCAAAAUAGUGAAGGGAGCGGUCAGUUUCUAGAGAAACUAGGUUCUGUUUCUUUGAAUUUAUCUUUGAGCAAAGGAAAAAGCAGUAUCAAUUAUGGAAGUGGCAAGGAUAAGUUGAAUGUAGAUGGAGCUCAUCUUCAGGCUAACAGGUCAAACUGGGAUUUGAAUACCACAAUGGAUGCAUGGGACCGUUCUGAGAGUGAUGGAGCUGCAUGCCAGGGAACUGAUGGGAUCAAUUGUUUGAAUGUUACCAGUGAUACACAAGAUAUAAAGCCUUUGAUACGUUCAGAUGGAAUGGUUGUAGCUGGUGUUGCUUCUGGAAACCAGUUUCUUAAAGGGAGCAAACACAAUCCUAAUUUCACCAUAUCCUCCAAAUCUCCUGGUCAGCAUUACAAUUUUGGGGAUUCUCUUCUUCUGCAACUAAGCCCUUGUCUCCAGCCAAUUAUAGGUGGGGAACAAUCUGGAUCAUCCUCUAAAGUAGAUUCAGUCAGGGUUAUUCCUACUUCAAACUUAUCCACUGUUCUAGUGUCAACUGGAAAUCCAAAUAUGGCAGGGAAUGUAAAAUCUGAACCAAUUGAUGAUAGUCCCAAGCUGGAUUUUAAGGGAUCGAAAGACAACCUUGAGACAUCACCAAUAGAUUUUAGAAAUAUAAAACAUGAAUUGAUUGAGAGGUUGGAACUAGAAGCCCUGAAAAAUUUUAAUUUUGGCAGGCUAAAAUUGGAUCCUAGAAUCAUCAAAUCUGAACCAGUACAUGAGGGAAAUCAUGGAAUUCAUAAGACAGCUGAGGGGGCAUCACAGUUAUCAGGUGGACAGGUGUUUCAAUGCUUGGAUAAUCAAUCUCGUGAAGUGGUAUUGCCUAAAUCUUCGCAUUUGUGCCCUUCAGAGCUUCCUACUUGUUCAACAGAGUUACCAAUAAAUGGGAAUGUGUCAAGCCAUUCAGGAAAUUCCACUUGUGCAAAGGGAAUCCAUGUUAGUACAGAGGUGCCUCAGAAUGCAAGCAAUAGUAUUAAGCAGGUUGCUUCAGAAACUGUUUCUAUAUCUGAGGUUCAUAAAGGUAAAGAAUUGAAUGUUUCAGAUGUACAUGCACCAGGAGUGGAAGAAAAUUUGAAUGUUGGUGAUCCUGAGCAGUGCAGAUUGAAAUUGAUGGAGGAAGCGCCUUUGGGUUCAUGUGGAGAUGGUGGGGGCUCUGCAAGAGAUAGUGAGGGGUCUGUGAGAAGAGACGGUGAGGGGUCUGUUAGAAGAGACGGUGAGGGGUCUGUUAGAGGAGACGGUGAGGGGUCUGUAAGUGAUGAGGAAAAGAUUAACAUAUCAAAUGACAUGCUCGAAGAUUCUUAUGAAUCUGAUUAUGACUCAGAUGGAAAUCAUGAUUUAGCUACAGUUAUGGAAGCGGAACGAUUGGGUGGAGAAGAUGAUGAUGACUAUGAAGAUGGAGAGGUCCGAGAACCACUUGUGCAUACUGAUGUAGGCUCUAUGUCUGAGAAAAGAGAAGCAGAAGAUGUUAAUUGUGGUGAUUCUGAUAAUAAAAAAGUGGGUUUUUUGGGUUCUUCUGGUGAUGAUUGUCCUGCAUCACUUCAAGCUGAGGAAAGAGACACCAAAACAGAAGAUCCUGGUGAAACAAAUAAUGAUGUUAGCGAAGAAUGUCUUGAUGCGGUUCCUGAUGAGAAAACCGAUAUGGUUGCUGAGAAAGACGCCUGUUUCGACAAGUCAUCAACAGUUGAGAUCCCGAUAACUGAACUGGACAAAAAGGGGCCCAUGAAGCCCAUUCGAAGAAAACCCCUUGAUCGAUCUGGGAAAAAGGAAGUUUCAGAGGACCAUGAAUCUGAACUAUCAUCUGAUAAAGCAGUCAGUGGAAGUCAAGGAACUGCAGUGGCAGUUGGUCAGGGUAUAGAUCAGAGCAUGAAAGGAACUGACUCAAUGGAGAAAAAUGAGUCAGCCUUACCUAGGACUGAAGUAUCUCUAAAUAGUAAUGAUGCAAAUAAGGAUGCCAACAGUGGAGGUACUCGGAGCAGGAUUAUAAAUCUACCUCGUGCUUCAUAUGUUUCAUCUUUAUAUAAAACAAGAUCUGUUUCAGGCAGGUCAUUACCAUCUCGAACUGUAAGAGAGAGGUUCACUGAUUUAGUGCCUGAGGGAGAUAAAUUACAUUCUCAAGGGAGGUGAUUAUUUCUGACCCUGUUGCUGCUUGUUUAAUUUGUCCCUUCUUUGGAGGAACCUUGGUAAAUGACCUUUUAUUUCAUUUUUCUUCCUUACAUGUUUUCAGGGAUGAAAUUUUCAUUGAUGGCCCCCACAAAUUUUUGAGAGAGCGGAAUCAAGAUCAAGCACUGAGAAAUUCUAGAUUAAGUUUUACCCGAGGCAGAGGAAGAGGUUCCAGCCGAUUGGAUGCUCUACAUGGUGACUGGGAUUCUGAUCAUGACUUUGCACCUGAACUUUAUAAUGGUCCAACAGAUUUUCGUUUCCGUAGACAUAAAACUGAUGUUGUUGAUGCAGAUCUUGAAUGCAGCAGCUAUAUUAUUGCACCAGAUGGUGCUGUUGGCACGGGUAGAGGAGGGA